CCCUUAGAUGUUCGGGGCCGCACGCGCGCUACACUGAAGGACUCAGCGUGUCUCUCCCCCUAUCCCGAAAGGGAUGGGCAACCCGUUGAACCUCCUUCGUGCUAGGGAUUGGGGCUUGCAAUUAUCCCCCAUGAACGAGGAAUUCCCAGUAAGCGCGAGUCAUCAGCUCGCGUUGAUUACGUCCCUGCCCUUUGUACACACCGCCCGUCGCUACUACCGAUUGGAUGGUUUAGUGAGACCCUCGGAUCGGUCCCGACUCGGGGUGGGCUUCUGCCCCGGUCGUGGUUUCGCCGAGAAGACGGUCAAACUUGACUAUCUAGAGGAAGUAAAAGUCGUAACA
rnacentral:rRNA from 1 species